CGCUUAAUUACUUAUCCAGAGCGCACCGUUGUAACAGAGUGCGGUCGACAGGGGCGGCAGAGGAAGAGACCGAUGGCGAGUGGGUGCGCGGUGUCGGUCGCCGGCGGCUCCAAGUGGUUGCUCCAAUUCAAGAACCAGGAUGCUCGCGAAGGCCUCGCCAUUAGCCGCUUGCCGCCUCUUCGUCCGUCGACAAGCCUUCCUCCCUCCCUAGUCCUCCGCCUCGCGAGAACCCCAGACCGCUUCCGCCUCUUCACUGUCGCAGCCCAAGAUUCCAACUCUCGGCAGCAGCAGCAGCAGCAGCAGCAAGAGCUCGACGUUUCCGUCCUCCGCUUCACUUUUGGGAUUCCGGGUCUUGAUGAGUCCUACCUUCCGAGGUACAUUGGAAUCGCCUUCGGAUUCCUAAUCAUACUCAACCACGUCUUUUCCGCCUCCCCUGCUACUCCCGCUCAGCUGAGGACCGAGGCUCUUGGGAUGUGUUUGGCCGCCUUCUCGACCGCCCUCCCUUAUCUUGGAAGGUUUCUUGAGGGUGCAAAUGCAACAGAUCGGGCAUCAAUACCAGAAGAAAAUAAGCAAAUAUUCUUCAUGUCAAAUGACAUCCUAGAUACUCAGAAGGGAGAUCUGGCUUGGGCAUCGUAUGCUCUUUUACGCAACACGAACAGCAUGUCAGUGAUUAUAGCAGUUAAUGAUGUAAUAUGCGUACGUGGCUACUGGAAUACACCUGAAGAUAAAGAUGCUUCAAAAGAUCAUCUACUGAAUUGGUUCAAUAGUCAGAUUCAGAAGACUGGGUUUUUUGACCUAAAAGACAUGUUAUACUUUCCUCAAUGCUCAGCUACAGAAUCUGAACUUGGGACUCUACUACCUAAAGGAACUCUGUCAGCGCUAAUACAACCAGUGAUCAGAACCUCUGAUCCAGUUGUUAAUUUUGCAAUGAAGAAUGAAGGAUUUAUCCUGCUGGCAUCCAGUGUCAAAUAUGCAUAUUCUGAAAAAGAUAGAGCUUGGAUCAGAGCAGUUGCUAAUAAAUUUUUGCAUAAAAUUUCCAAGGAUUUGUAACAUCUCAACGAGAUGUAUGGGAGGUUGUAAAAGAUGGUUUUGUUGAACCAAGUGCGGAGGGAGAAGCAUGAAUGGGUAAUGAAGCAACGAAACAACUUAACGAUCAAAGAAAGAGGGAGAAGAAGGCCUUGUUCACAAGUUACCAAGGCCUUGAUGAAGCAAUGUUCGAGAUUAUUGCUCCAUCGAGGACAUCAAAGGAGGCAUGGGAUACUUUACAAAGAGCAUUUGGUGGUAUGGUCAAAGUGAAAAAAAGAUCUACCUACAAGCUUUAAGAGAUGAAUUUGAAAAACUACAACAAGCAAUUGAAGAAUCCAAAAACCUAGAACAAAUGUCAUUGGAACAACUAAUGGGUUAUCUUCAAGCAAAGGAACAAAGGCUUACAAGACAAGGAGAAGACAAGUCAUUAGAGCAAGCUCUACAAACUAAACUUGCUCUUGAGAACAAAGGAGAACCAAAGUCUCAAAGAGGUAGAGGUUAUGGGCAACGAGGAAGAGGAAGAGGUCAACCUACCUAAGAAGCACAAAACAACCAAAGUGAAUGAGACAACAUAGGCUAAAGAGGUCGAGGUCGAGGCCGUGGACGAGGGAAAUUGGAGAGGCGAAAUCAUCUACAAGUAUUGUGGUUGCCAUCGGGUUGCUUCACCGAACGUCAAGUUACCAAAGCCUUUGGGUUCAUAACCUCACUCAUUUCCUGUAUCAGGUAGUAUUAUACAAUCAUCUCGCUGGACUCUAAUAAUACCGUUAGUUUUUAUUUGAUAUGCAGUUAUUUCCUGCUUUGGCAAUGACCAAGUUGGAAUGAAACUUGCUCCCAUCUUUUAAAAACAUUUGGUAUCAUCAUGGAAUAGUCUAUCAACAGGCGCGACCUAUAAUGUCAAUUGCGGUAUAAGUUCCCUGCCAGGUAAUGUAGAGUAACAUAGUGAUGGAGAUCAGCAUUUGCUCCUCAGCUCAGUAAUUUUGGAUAAAAUGUUAAGCUACACAUGGUGAUAUAGUGAAUGACACCUUGUUCAUGUUUGUUGUACAAGGAACCAAUUUUUUAGUGGCUUAGACUUUCUAGUUUUUGUUUGUCUCGUUCAUAUGAAGGUGCUACCACCACUGCAUACGGAUGGGUCCAGCGAAGUAUAAAGUUCGAAGCACAUUAAGUGGUGGCUUGAAGACUUGAACGAAUGCACGAUCGCAUAAUGGCCGAUUAGUUUAACUUAUCGGGUGUAAUAUUAGGCAAAGUCCUCGGUUUGGGAUAUUCUCUUACCUGUAUAGUUAUGCAUUCUUUUGCUCUGUGGAUUGAGCAUAUUAGGCAAAGGCUUAAAGAGACGAAAUGCUUGGGUUGAGAUAUUCUCUUACGUAUAUAGUUGUACAUUUCUUAA